rnacentral:rRNA from 1 species
CGCGUAGGCGGCUUGGUAAGGGGGCGGUGAAAGCCUGGGGCUCAACCCCGGGUCGGCCGGACCGACUGCCGAGCUUGAGCACACUAGGGGCAGGUGGAAUUCCGGGUGUAGCGGUGGAAUGCGUAGAGAUCCGGAGGAACACCGGUGGCGAAGGCGGCCUGCUGGGGUGUGGCUGACGCUGAGGCGCGACAGCGUGGGGAGCAAACAGGAUUAGAUACCCUGGUAGUCCACGCCGUAAACGAUGGGCACUAGGUGCUCGGGGGAGCGACCCCUUGGGUGCCGGCGCUAACGCAUUAAGUGCCCCGCCUGGGGAGUACGGCCGCAAGGCUGAA